UCCCCCAAAUGUCUGUCCCCAAAUGUCUGUCCCCAAAUGUCUGUCCUCUAAAAUGACUGUCCCCAAAUGUCUGUCCCCUAAAUGUCCCCUAAAUGUCCCCCAAAUGUCUGUCCCCUAAAAUGUCUGUCCCCAAAUGUCUGUCCUCUAAAAUGACUGUCCCCUAAAACGUCUGUCCCCUAAAUGACCCCCAAAUGUCUGUCCCCAAAUGUCUGUCCCCUAAAUGUCCCCUAAAAUGACUGUCCCCUAAAUGUCUGUCCCCAAAUGUCUGUCCCCAAAUGUCUGUCCCCUAGCAUUAACUCCCAGCCCCCAGCUCUCCUGCCCCAGGCUUGCCCCUCUCAAUAUUCUGCUGAGCACUUUGAAAACUCGCUGCAGAAACUUCCUGUGGUUCUUGGAGUGGUUCUGAACCUAAUUUUAGCUGGUUGGCAGCAGCGUGGUGAGAACCAAGAGCAGCCCCUGUGGAUGUCCCUCCUCAGAAACCCCCCCUGCCAUUCCCUGCACACAAACACCAUCAAGCAGUUCAAUCUUCACAGAAAUGAGGCCUCUAAAAGCCACAGCCCAAACGAAAGGAGAGCCAGGGCAAGCAACCUCAGCUCUGCCAGGAAUUCGAGUGAAGGCACAAAAAAGCACAAAUGUUUUCCUGGUCAGGUCCCGAGUCAGUCUGGAGACUGCAGAGGCUGAGAGCUCCAUUUCCCACUUCAUUAACGAAAUGAUGGAGCAAGGAAUGGAGGAGUCAGCACCCAACCCUGAGAGAAACGGGACAGCAGCAAAAAGCAGCGGCCUCUGCGACUCCCAGAAGGGAAUUAACCUGCACAAAGGUGAUUGCUGAAGUUUUGAAAAGCCAGGUCAGCAGCAACCACAAAGCCCAGAGAGAACUGAGAUAUAUUUGGUGAAAAUUCAUCUUUUUCUUGUGUGUGUUUUUUGGUUUGUGUUAGGCUUUUGUGGUCAUUUUUUAUAAAAGGAUUUGAGUAGUAAGGUGA